AGACUUGUUGCUUGAGGAGACCGGGACAGAAAAAAGAAUGCCAGGAUACUGAAAACUGAUCUUCUUGCACAGAUUCAAUCAGCAAGUGAGAGGCAUUAACAAUCCACAUCGCCUCACUACUUUUCUAUAAUUAUCCCUCUUUCUGCGAGUAUCCCUAGUUUUCGUGCACAUGCAAUCUCAAGCUAGUCUUAGUUCAUACGUUACUGGCCUGAUGAACAUGUCCAAAACCUGGGUAGUUAGUCCCAUGGCUUGACUGGUAGAUGAAUGCCUUGACCGGAGGUCAGUAGGAGCAUUGGACUACCCUUUAAAAGCCAUCUUAACCUCUCUUCAAAGGAUAGAGAGCCUCAUUCACUCAGCUUCCUGCUCUUCGCUUCGAGAAAGUGUCGGAUCUCUCUUCUAGGUCGGCAAUGGAUCCACCGCCACCGGCAAGUGCACCGCUUCUGGCACCCGCUCCUCCGCCCGGUCCGCCCGGUGGAGGAUGCUUGGAUUUCAUCUUGUGGUUUCUGGGCUGCUGCGGCCUGUACCGAAGCUGCUGCCCGCCGCUCUUCGAGCCUGGGCCUCCCCCGCCGUGAGGCUUUCCGCAUUUCC